UUCACUCUGUGUGUCUUUGUUUGUUUAUUAGUACUGUAGUGUGAGAAGACCCACGCGGCAGCUGUGUGUGUGUGUGUGUGUGUGUGUGUGUGUGCGCGCGCGCGCUCCCCUGUGGUACUAUGGACUUUUUUCUUCUCUCCCGCUCAAUCAUUCAGUCAAGCAAUUAAUUAAUUAAUCAAUCAGACAUCACGUGAUCAAUAGACCUGAGACUGAAAUGUGGCGAGUUCUUCAAAAACCUACAGACGCUGUGUGUGUGUGUGUGUGUGUGUGUGUGUGUGUGUGUGUGUGUGUGUGUGUUUAACUUUAUAACUGAACUGGUUGAACUUGACCACAUUUUCACACACACACACACACACACACGCGCGCACGCACGCGCGAUGAAGUGUGUGUAGUCACUCGGAGGUGAAUUUGGAGCGCUUGAUAGAAACCUUCUUACACACACCAGAGAUUCGCAUGCUGGAAGUCUGAAUAGAUCCGGACUCCAGUGCCGUAAACACUAAUCUCCCACCUCCAUCAAUCAUCUUCUGUCCUCACUUUCUGAUUGGCUGUUGAAGAUUUUUCUGGCUGUUGCUCAUCACUUUACCGGGGGUGUGUCACAGUUUCCAUGGCAACCAGCACAACGUUUUUGUUUUUUGUUGUAACCCUGAUUUGUUAUCUGAUUGUAUUUACCAGUUUAGUGUUAAUUAAUGUGUUUAAUGUC